rnacentral:lncRNA from 1 species
AUGGAUGAGUCUAAAUUUUUUCCUAUCAUUUAUCUUCAGCAAAUACAUUUUAGGUAUUCAACAAGUAAUUUGACUAAUGGAUAUAUUCCAAUGUUUCUCUUUCAGUUUGUUCUCAGAAAAUUGGUUAGGAAUUCAUCCACUGCCCACAUACCCAUAAGAAACAAAGAAAAUAAAAGAUACAGAAGAAAAUUGAGCUCUUUGGAUGCAUUUAAGAAAAUGUAUGGCAAUCGUGGGACAAGAUCCUAGAGAGAAGCGAAGCACAUUGAGAUGACUCCUACAGGAAAGCCACUGAUUUUCCUCUUGAGAACUUGCUGAUUCAGAUUGUGGGACAUAGAGUUGCAUGGGGCUGCCUGGAGCUUAAAAUGGUCUUUCUCUGCCAGGAAAACCAAAACUGGAGGUUCAGCUUCCCAGGUCAGCCAUGAAAUGAGGGACCAAUAUCUGGAAGAAAGGGAGCCACGGGAAUAUCUAAGGCAAAAUGCAAUAACUGAAAUCAAGAAUUUAAUGAUAUGUUUAAUAGUAAACUAGACAAAGCAAAGAGGAGGAUGAAUGAAUUACAACGCAAGUUAGCAAAAAAAUGGGCAGACUAAAACACAGAGAAAAAAGGACUGGGAAAACAGAACAGAAGACAAGAGCCACAUGAGACAUUGUAAAAUGAUCUGCUGUAACUGGAAUCACAGAAUAGAAAUCAGACACCAAUAUAAUUAUGUCUUAAAAUGUUGAAGUAAUAUGUUUUCAAUCCUAGAAUUAUAUAUCUAGUUAAAAUAUCCUUUUAAAAAUGAAGGUGAAAAAAAAAGGUAGAUCAAACAAAAGCUGAGAGAAUUGGUCAUCAACUGAUACACACUAAGAGAAAUACUAAAGAUAGCUUUUCAAGGAGUUCCCGUCGUGGCGCAAAGGAAACGAAUCUGACUAGGAUCCAUGAGGAUACAGGUUCAAUCCCUGGCCUCUCUCAGUGGGUUAAGGAUCUGGAGUUGCCAUGAGCUGUUGUGUAAGUUGCAGACACAGCUCUGAUCUGGUAUUGCUGUGGCUGUGGUUGUAGGCCAGCUACAGCUCUGAUUCAACCCCUAGCCUGGGAAUCUCCAUAUGCCAUGGGUACAGACCUAAAAAGCAAAAGCAAAAAGAUAGCUUUUCAGUCAGAAGAAAUAAGAUUGCAGAUGAAAGCACCAGAAAGCAGGAAAACAGAGUUGCCAUUGUGGUUUAGUGGAAACAAAUCUGACUACUACCCGUGAGGUUUUGGGUUCGAUCCUUG